UUUAUAUGAGAGUUUGAUCCUGGCUCAGGAUGAACGCUGGCGGCGUGCCUAAUACAUGCAAGUCGAACGAGUUCUCGUUGAUGAUCGGUGCUUGCACYGAGAUUCAACAUGGAACGAGUGGCGGACGGGUGAGUAACACGUGGGUAACCUGCCCUUAAGUGGGGGAUAACAUUUGGAAACAGAUGCUAAUACCGCAUAGAUCCAAGAACCGCAUGGUUCUUGGCUGAAAGAUGGCGUAAGCUAUCGCUUUUGGAUGGACCCGCGGCGUAUUAGCUAGUUGGUGAGGUAAUGGCUCACCAAGGCGAUGAUACGUAGCCGAACUGAGAGGUUGAUCGGCCACAUUGGGACUGAGACACGGCCCAAACUCCUACGGGAGGCAGCAGUAGGGAAUCUUCC
rnacentral:rRNA from 2 species